UACCAGCACCCCGAGUGGUCGGGGCGAUUAUUGGGCCUAAAGCAUCCGUAGCCGGUCUUGCAAGUCUUCCGUUAAAUCCAGCUGCUUAACAGAUGGGCUGCGGAAGAUACUACAAGACUAGGAGGUGGGAGAGGCAAGCGGUACUCAGUGGGUAGGGGUAAAAUCCUCUGAUCCAUUGAAGACCACCAGUGGCGAAGGCGGCUUGCCAGAGCGCGCUCGACGGUGAGGGAUGAAAGCUGGGGGAGCAAACCGG
rnacentral:rRNA from 1 species